UACGGAAGAUGCAAGCGUUAUCCGGAAUUACUGGGCGUAAAGAGUUGCGUAGGUGGCAUUGUAAGUCAGUAGUGAAAGCGUGGGGCUCAACCCCAUACACAUUAUUGAAACUGCUAAGCUAGAGAAUGAGAGAGGUAUCUGGAAUUCCCAGUGUAGGAGUGAAAUCCGUAGAUAUUGGGAGGAACACCAAUGGCGUAGGCAGGGUACUGGCUCAUUUCUGACACUAAGGCACGAAAGCGUGGGGAGCAAACGGG
rnacentral:rRNA from 1 species